AGGUAAGGUAAUAAAUAGAAAGUGAAUCAUUCUUCUUUCACUUAUGUGUCAAAUUUUGCAAAUGCUUACUGUUGUAUUCUGAGAUGUUUUAAGUGUUCUUGAAUUCUAGUGAACAUAAAGAUAUAUGAAUUUCAUUUUAGUUCAGCAGGAACUGAAAAUAUGCUUUAUCUUUUCAAGUUAUCUUGAAAAUUUGGCUUACUGUUUUGAGAGGAAAAACCACUAAAUCCAGUAAAGGGGUUUGUAGAGUUGAUUUUCAUUCAUAUUAAUUAUGUGUUAUUUGCAGUGACUAAUUGGUGAAGCGAUUCUUAGAUGGGUAUGCAUAUCUAUGGUGAGAGCUGGCAGAAAAAUAAUUAUUUUUAAAACAAAUAUUUUAAGAAAAAAGAUCUGUUCUUUUUAUAGAUUGAAUUUGAGAUUUGCUGACACUUAACAAUAUAUACAAUGGGAUUUUUUCUCACUAGUAAUUAACAGAGUUCAGUGGUACUAAUUUUCUUUUUGAUGGCAAGUACUAAGGUGCUGAAAAUAAUAAUCCAUCAGUUAUAAAUAGGAAAUCAUCUUGUGGAUGAUUUAAUUUUUUGAGAGCAAAAAAAUGAAGUUUAGGCCCUGAAAUUUGACAGAGAAUGGCAAACUUCUAAGCUGGUAAGUACUGUGGUUGAAGUUUGAAAACUGUGUGAUCUGUGUAUCACAGUGCUGCUUCAAAUAGUUACAGAAAAUUGUUUUUAAAUUAGAUAUGAUUUAGCCCAGGGAUCUAAAAGAUGGUAAUAUCUUCAUCCUCUGUGGAAAACAAACAAAAAAAGGAUAUCUGCUAUUUAAAACUGAAUCUGCAAAACUCUUGAACACUUUUGACCUUACUCCUAUGCACUUGUCUUCAUCAAUAAAAAUUUCCAUCACUUUAAUUUGCCUUAUAAACAUCUCAUCUUGUAGGCAGGUAACAUACAGAUUUUAAUCAAAAAUUCCAAAGUAUUUUCAGAAAGCUUUUCUUCUUAGAAGUUUCACUUUCACUUCUAAGUGGACACAAAUAAUGCCACGUGAUAAAGGUGGCCAAUCUCAGAGUAAAAAAAGCAGUGUCAGCAGCAUGUCCUUGUGGCUCAGAAGGUCAGUGGUAUCCUGGGUUGCAUUAAAAAGUGUAUGGCCCCUCUACUCUGCCCUGCUGAGGACACGUUUGGUGACAUUCUUUACUUUGAGUGUGACAGAGCACUGGAACAGGCUGCCCAGAGAUGUUGUGGAGUAUCCUUCUCUGGAGAUAUUCAAAACCUGUCUGAACUUCUUCCUGUAAAUCCUACUGUAGGGAACCUCAUUUAGCAGGAGAGUUAGACAGGAUAAUCCCCAGAAGUCCCUUCCAACUCCUAUGAUUCUAUGACUCUGAAAGUGCCGAAAAUUUUAUCAUGGAUAGAAGUGUUUGAAUUGAACUGUCACUGACAAAGCUGAAGGCAUAAGCAGAUUAAUAAAAAUCAGCAUUUAAAAUUGGAAAAAAUGCAUUAUGUAUGGUUGAAAUAUAUAGACUGUUUUCACAGUUCAGUUAAGUCUACUCAUAACUUUGGAGCUGACAAGCAUUAAAACACUGACUGUCUUUCUCUUCAUGUCUCUGACAGGACUGGGAUUCAGAAGUUUCUGUUUCAUUAAUUCUACCCCAAAACUGAUACAUUUACUUUAUUAUUCAGGAAAGUUGCUAUAGAUUCAUGUGAUUUAGAGCAUUUUUUUUUUUAGUCAAUAUUAAAAAUACAUUAUAUUCCAUAAUGCCCUCGGUAGGAGUUUGGACUACUCUGCUCCAAUUCUCAGUCAACUGAACAUGUAUAAACCUGGAGGAAAUCUGAUCUGGAUUAAUUGAUUUUGGAUGUAGUUACUCAAACCAUAUAAAAUAUGUUCUGCAAAUCUAUCAUCUGACAGUCAAUCUCAAUUGUUAUCACAUUUAAAAUACAGAGUGUGUCACACUGGGGGUUUCACAGAAAUAAAACGUGCCCUCUCUGGAAAAAGGCCACUCUCAUAGUAAUUUAAGUAACAAGAUAGAAAUUUCUACCUAUUUAGAGUCUUGAUAAAUAGAAUGCACAAUUGUCUCAUAGGUUCGUAUUUCUUUCUUUCUGGAGUUAAUUCUUAAUUUCCUCAAUUUAAGAUGUUAAAAAUAACUUUAAUACUGCCUUGGAAUAUUAACUCGAUUACAGGAUUGAAAUGGCUUUAAAUGAUCUCAUAGGUUUUUCAGAGACAGAAGUUUUCAUGACAUAUUAUGUGGGAACAUUGCAACACACAGAAACACUACUAAGACACUGCAUUACUUUCCAGUACUGUUCAAUAGGGACUUUAAUAAAGUACAUAAUUUCUUCAAGCACAUAAACUGAGUCUAUGUCCAGUGGCUGCUGAGAAUCAUGGAACUGUAGAAUAUCCAAGUUGGAAGGGAUCCAUAAAGAUCAUCAAGUCCAACUUCCGGCUCUACACAGGACAACCCAAAAAUCAGACAACAUACCUGGAAAUAUUUUUGAAGACUACAGUCAGCCAACACCAAACUGUUCUGAAAAAGCUUCUGAAGGUCAUGUGUUUGAGCUCUGCCGCACUCUUCUGCUCAGCAAACAAGCAAGGAAAGGCAUUUGAAGCCUGCAUAAUUUAUGCAGAUUGAGCACCCGGUGAAGAGACACAGUCAGCCCUGGGAGCACAGGUGAAAUCAAUUUGGAACUUGAUUCCACCCCUCCCUAAGCCUCAUUUAAGGACUGGCUGCCACCAAGGAAGAAUUUUGACCUGGAAUCCUUUUGGAAUGUUCAGGGAGCCCUGAUCCUUAAUGUGGAAUUUUCUGAAAAAAAAAAAAAAAAAAUUAAGCAACAGGAAGUUGAGAAUAUCUUUACAUUGAGGAACUCCAGUGUAGACUGCAAAGGAAAAUAAACCUUACUUCACUGCAUGACUUCUGUAAGACCACAAGCCUGGAAUUAUAUAGGAGUGCCCUGCUAGCAAGGAGAAUGCUGGUGCAAAAGAGAGGACAUUACGAGGACAGCUGACCCAAAUGAUGCAAAGGAAUGUACACAAUAUGAUCUCAUGAUCAGCAAUAAGGAAUGGGAGAAAGAAGGAGGAAGAGAUGUUCAGAAUUACAGCAUUUGUCUUCCCAAGAAACUGUUAACUGCGAUGGAGAUCUGCUUUCUUGGAAAUGGCUAAACAUCUGCCUGCUGAUGGGAAGUAGUGAAUGAAUUCCUUAGAUUGCUUUGCAUGAGCAUGAAGAAUUUGCUUUAUCUAUUAAGCUGUCUUUAUCUCAAUCCAUGAGUUUUCUCACUUUUACUUUGGAAAAAACCUUCAAGAUCAUCAAGUCCAUGAACCUCAUCUACUGUGUUCCAGCACUAAACCAUGUCCCUUAGAGCCAAGUCCACUUAUAUGGGGACUCCAGUACUUCCUUGGCAUCUCAUUCCAAUGCUUGACCACUUGGUGUCUUCAGGGUUGUUUCUCACAUUUUCUUACUCCUCUCUUCCAGAUGCGGUUGAACAGAUUUUUUUCCAUUUUCUGCUCUCCUAGAGGCAUAAAUAUUGUAGCCCACAGCUUACUUCUGGACAUCAGCUGGACCCUUUUGUAACAGGCUAGAGCUAGAUCUUAUCUAACAUGGGAAUGUUAAUACUCUUCACAGAAACCACUCCUGCAGCUCCGCUCCCUCCUACCAAAACUUCUUCAAGUAAACUCAUUAGAACACUCCAUGUAAGCAGUAUGGAUGAGCCUAUCCUGUUUUUGCAGAUAAAGAUUAGAUACUUGUAUGCAAGUUCUGCUGCACAGUUUGCUAUCAGAGCCAGAGAAUGGUCCUUGGUAGUGCUUAUUGGUAUAGACAAAACCGUUCCUGUUUGCUAUCCAAUGACUGCACUGAUAUAGCACUAUAGUGCUAGCUGAAUGAACAGAAUAUUUGUGAAAUUGGCUCAAGUCUCAUCUCAAGUACAUACAGAUAAUUGGGUAGAUACAAAGAGUGAGAUCCAAUUUACCUAAUAUAUUUAAUUUCCUUGUAGUCACUGGUAGGAAGCAGUCUCCUUAAUGUAGUUCCCAUCCUGUCUUGUCAAAGGCAAGUGAUAGGAGUCUUUCAGGGUCAUGAGUAAGACUUUUUUUCCCCAUCUGGGGCACUACACUUAAAGAAUAGAUGUAGAUACAGAAUUGAGCUGUCUGGUUGCUUUCAUGACCUACCUCUGAGUACUGUCUGAUUCUUUGUCAGUGAUUAAACAUUCAUACUCACAUCACUUCUGUAAGUUGAGGAGAUAGCCUCCAUUUAUAAGCAUAUAACUGAGAUGUGGAGAGAUUAAACAGACAAAUGUCAAAACCUAAUAAAGGCUGCUAUUGAUUUGAAUGAGAAUUAGAUCAGGCCAUUUGUGAAUUAACUUCCCAAAUGCUCUGCUAUCUUUUCAAUAAAGGUAUGUAUUUACUUCUGUAUAAUAAAUAUGUACUAUGUGGGAUAUCUGUUUAACUGGAAAUAAUUAAAACAUUUUUUAAAAGUCUUACAUUUUGUCAGACAGUAAUGCAAAUAUAGUUGAAGUAGUAAUUUAAUAUUUUAUAUUAGUUAUAUAACUAAUAAAAUGAGAAUUAGUGAAAAUGAGAAUUUAUGAAAAAUAAUACAAGUCAGAAGCAAUUACACAUGCAGAAAGAAUUCUGAAAUAUAUAUCUUGAUCUUU